rnacentral:rRNA from 1 species
AGUUUGAUCAUGGCUCAGAUUGAACGCUGGCAGGAUGCUUUACACAUGCAAGUCGAACGGCAGCACGGACUUCGGUCUGGUGGCAGGAAGUGAAACGGGUGAGUAAUGUAUCGGAACGUGCCUAGUAGCGGGGGAUAACUACUGGCGUAGCUAAUGCGCAUACGCCCUUCGGGGAAAGCGGGGGGACCUUCGGGCCUCGCACUAUUAGAGCGGCCGAUAUCGGAUUAGCUAGUUGGUGGAGUAACGGCUCACCGAAGCGACGAUCCGUAGCUGGUUUGAGAGGACGACCAGCCACACUGGGACUGAGACACGGCCCAGACUCCUGCAGCAGGAGGCAGCAGUGAAAUUUUGGACAAUGGGGGAAACCUGAUCCAGCCAUCCCGCGUGUGCGAUGAAGGCCUUCGGGUUGUAAAGCACUUUUGGCAGGAAAGAAGAAACGUGGCACGGGAUAAUACCCCGUGCAACUGACGGUACCUGCAGAAUAAGCACCGGCUAACUACGUGCAACAGCCGCGGUAAUACGUAGGGUGCAAGCGUUAAUCGGAAUUACUGGGCGUAAAGCGUGCGCAGGCGGUUCGGAAAGAAAGAUGUGAAAUCAGGCUUAACUUUGGAACUGCAUUUUUAACUACCGAGCUAGAGUGUGUCAGAGGAAGUGGAAUUCCGCGUGUAGCAGUGAAAUGCGUAGAUAUGCGGAGGAGGAACACCGAUGGCGAAGGCAGCCUCCUGGGAUAACACUGACGCUCAUGCACAGCGUGGGAGCAAACAGGAUUAGAUACCUGGUAGUCCACGCCCUAAACGAUGUCAACUAGCUGUUGGGGCCAGCGCGCUUGGUAGCGCAGCUAACGCGUGAAGUUGACCGCCUGGGAAGUACGGUCGCAAGAUUAAAACUCAAGGAUGACGGGGACCCGCACAAGCGGUGGAUGAUGUGGAUUAAUUCGAUGCAACGCGAAAAACCUUACCUACCCUUGACAUGUCUGGAAUCGAAGAGAUUUGGGAGUGCUCGCAAGAGAACCGGAACACAGGUGCUGCAUGGCUGUCGUCAGCUCGUGUCGUGAGAUGUUGGAGUUAGAAUCCCGCAACGAGCGCAACCCUUGUCAUUAGUUGCUACGAAAGGGCACUCUAAUGAGACUGCCGGUGACAAACCGGAGGAAGGUGGGGAUGACGUCAAGUCCUCAUGGCCCAUAUGGGUAGGGCUUCACACGUCAUACAAUGGUCGAGACAGAGGGUCGCCAACCCGCGAGAGGCCAAUCCCAGAAACCCGAUCGUAGUCCGGAUCGCAGUCUGCAGCUCAGCUGCGUGAAGUCGGAAUCGCCAGUAAUCAUGAGAUCAGCAUGUCGCGGUGAAUACGUUCGGGUCUUGUACACACCGCCCGUCACACCAUGGGAGUGGGUUUACCAGAAGUAGUUAACCCUAACCGUAAGGAGGGCGAUUACCACGGUAGGAUUCAUGACUGGGGUGAAGUCGUAACAAGGCCG